CAUGCAGUCGAACGAUGAAGUUCCUUCGGGAAUGGAUUAGUGGCGAACGGGUGAGGAACACGUGAGAAACCUGCCUUUCAUUCUGGGAUAACACCGGGAAACCGGUGCUAAUACCGGAUACUCCAUCUUGGCGGCAUCGCCGAGCUGGGAAAAAAUUUUGAUGAAAGAUGGUCUCGCGGCCUAUCAGCUAGUUGGUGAGGUAAAGGCUCACCAAGGCGACGACGGGUAGCCGGCCUGAGAGGGCGACCGGCCACACUGGGACUGAGACACGGCCCAGACUCCUACGGGAGGCAGCAGUAGGGAAUAUUGGGCAAUGGGCGAAAGCCUGACCCAGCGACGCCGCGUGAGGGAUGAAGGUCUUCGGAUUGUAAACCUCUUUCAGUAGGGAAGAAGCGAAAGUGACGGUACCUAAAGAAGAAGCACCGGCUAACUAUGUGCCAGCAGCCGCGGUAAUACAUAGGGUGCAAGCGUUGUCCGGAAUUAUUGGGCGUAAAGAGCUCGUAGGUCGUUUGUCGCGUCGAUUGUGAAAAUCUGAGGCUCAACCUCAGACCUGCAGUCGAUACGGGCAAACUAGAGUGUGGUAGGGGAGACUGGAAUUCCUGGUGUAGCGGUGGAAUGCGCAGAUAUCAGG
rnacentral:rRNA from 1 species